rnacentral:tRNA from 1 species
GGGCAGGUGCCAGAGUGGCCAAUUGGACCUGGCUGUAAACCAGGCGGCGGAAGCCUUCGGCGGUUCGAAUCCGUCCCUGCCCA